ACGGGAGGCAGCAGUGGGGAAUAUUGGGCAAUGGGCGAAAGCCUGACCCAGCGACGCCGCGUGAGGGAAGAAGGUCUUCGGAUUGUAAACCUCUGUCAACAGGGAAGAAGCAAGUGACGGUACCUGUGGAGGAAGCCACGGCUAACUACGUGCCAGCAGCCGCGGUAAUACGUAGGUGGCGAGCGUUAUCCGGAAUUACUGGGUGUAAAGGGUGUGUAGGCGGGACGGCAAGUCAGAUGUGAAACUCAUGGGCUCAACUCAUGACCUGCAUUUGAAACUGCUGUUCUUGAGAGUCGGAGGGGUAAACGGAAUUCCCGGUGUAGCGGUGAAAUGCGUAGAGAUCGGGAGGAACACCAGUGGCGAAGGCGGUUUACUGGACGACAACUGACGCUGAGACACGAAAGCGUGGGGAGCAAACAGGAUUAGAUACCCUGGUA
rnacentral:rRNA from 1 species